UACGGGGGGGGCAAGCGUUGUUCGGAAUCACUGGGCGUAAAGGGCGCGUAGGCGGGGAGGUAAGUCGGGUGUGAAAUCCCUCGGCCCAACCGAGGAACUGCGCCCGAGACUGCUUCUCUUGAGUCCCGGAGAGGAAGAUGGAAUUCCCGGUGUAGCGGUGAAAUGUGUAGAGAUCGGGAGGAACACCGGUGGCGAAGGCGGUCUUCUGGACGGUGACUGACGCUGAGGCGCGAAAGCGUGGGGAGCGAACAGG
rnacentral:rRNA from 1 species